AGGAAGUGUUGCUCACUUCACUACCCCCUCCCGUACCUGCUGUGAGACGCGCUUGAGAAGCAACUUGCAAUAUCUUCUCAUUCUCCCACUUUGUAAACUUCAUAAUUAGAGCUGCCAUGUUCGAUUAAUUAUCGGGCCGUUCAUGGUAUGUUGUUUUUGCCCUCGAUCACUCAGGUCAGGUUUUUUUUUCCGGGAAGGAAUACCCGUUGACCCAAACAACCUGAGCUCCCUAUCCACUUUCAAACUCAACUCAACAAAUGGCGAGCUAAACAACUACGCGGUAGGACAAGCAU